rnacentral:rRNA from 1 species
CCGUACACAAAAGCGCAUGUGCUGUGAGCUCGAUGAGUAGGGCGGGACACGUGGUAUCCUGUCUGAAUAUGGGGGGACCAUCCUCCAAGGCUAAAUACUCCUGACUGACCGAUAGUGAACCAGUACCGUGAGGGAAAGGCGAAAAGAACCCCGGCGAGGGGAGUGAAAAAGAACCUGAAACCGUGUACGUACAAGCAGUGGGAGCACAGGUUUACCUGUGUGACUGCGUACCUUUUGUAUAAUGGGUCAGCGACUUAUAUUCUGUAGCAAGGUUAACCGUAUAGGGGAGCCGUAGGGAAACCGAGUCUUAACCGGGCGUUAAGUUGCAGGGUAUAGACCCGAAACCCGGUGAUCUAGCCAUGGGCAGGUUGAAGGUUGGGUAACACUAACUGGAGGACCGAACCGACUAAUGUUGAAAAAUUAGCGGAUGACCUGUGGCUGGGGGUGAAAGGCCAAUCAAACCGGGAGAUAGCUGGUUCUCCCCGAAAGCUAUUUAGGUAGCGCCUCGUGAAUUCAUCUCCGGGGGUAGAGCACUGUUUCGGCUAGGGGGCCAUCCCGGCUUACCAACCCGAUGCAAACUGCGAAUACCGGAGAAUGUUAUCACGGGAGACACACGGCGGGUGCUAACGUCCGUCGUGAAGAGGGAAACAACCCAGACCGCCAGCUAAGGUCCCAAAGUCAUGGUUAAGUGGGAAACGAUGUGGGAAGGCCCAGACAGCCAGGAUGUUGGCUUAGAAGCAGCCAUCAUUUAAAGAAAGCGUAAUAGCUCACUGGUCGAGUCGGCCUGCGCGGAAGAUGUAACGGGGCUAAACCAUGCACCGAAGCUGCGGCAGCGAACGUAUCACCCAAGACAACUUUACGGAGUUGACGAUUGACGGAGCGAAGCGACGUCAAAGCGUUCAUUAAAGUCGAGUUGGCUUAGGGAUACGUUCGUUGGGUAGGGGAGCGUUCUGUAAGCCUGUGAAGGUGUGUCGUGAGGCAUGCUGGAGGUAUCAGAAGUGCGAAUGCUGACAUAAGUAACGAUAAAGCGGGUGAAAAGCCCGCUCGCCGGAAGACCAAGGGUUCCUGUCCAACGUUAAUCGGGGCAGGGUGAGUCGACCCCUAAGGCGAGGCCGAAAGGCGUAGUCGAUGGGAAACGGGUUAAUAUUCCCGUACUUGGUGUUACUGCGAAGGGGGGACGGAGAAGGCUAUGUUGGCCGGGCGACGGUUGUCCCGGUUUAAGCGUGUAGGUGUGUGUUCCAGGUAAAUCCGGUUCACUUUAACACUGAGGCGUGACGACGAGGCACUACGGUGCUGAAGCAACAAAUGCCCUGCUUCCAGGAAAAGCCUCUAAGCAUCAGGUAACAUCAAAUCGUACCCCAAACCGACACAGGUGGUCAGGUAGAGAAUACCAAGGCGCUUGAGAGAACUCGGGUGAAGGAACUAGGCAAAAUGGUGCCGUAACUUCGGGAGAAGGCACGCUGACACGUAGGUGAAGUGAUUUACUCAUGGAGCUGAAGUCAGUCGAAGAUACCAGCUGGCUGCAACUGUUUAUUAAAAACACAGCACUGUGCAAACACGAAAGUGGACGUAUACGGUGUGACGCCUGCCCGGUGCCGGAAGGUUAAUUGAUGGGGUCAGCGUAAGCGAAGCUCCUGAUCGAAGCCCCGGUAAACGGCGGCCGUAACUAUAACGGUCCUAAGGUAGCGAAAUUCCUUGUCGGGUAAGUUCCGACCUGCACGAAUGGCGUAAUGAUGGCCAGGCUGUCUCCACCCGAGACUCAGUGAAAUUGAACUCGCUGUGAAGAUGCAGUGUACCCGCGGCAAGACGGAAAGACCCCGUGAACCUUUACUAUAGCUUGACACUGAACAUUGAGCCUUGAUGUGUAGGAUAGGUGGGAGGCUUUGAAGUGUGGACGCCAGUCUGCAUGGAGCCGACCUUGAAAUACCACCCUUUAAUGUUUGAUGUUCUAACGUGGACCCGUAAUCCGGGUUGCGGACAGUGUCUGGUGGGUAGUUUGACUGGGGCGGUCUCCUCCUAAAGAGUAACGGAGGAGCACGAAGGUUGGCUAAUCCUGGUCGGACAUCAGGAGGUUAGUGCAAUGGCAUAAGCCAGCUUGACUGCGAGCGUGACGGCGCGAGCAGGUGCGAAAGCAGGUCAUAGUGAUCCGGUGGUUCUGAAUGGAAGGGCCAUCGCUCAACGGAUAAAAGGUACUCCGGGGAUAACAGGCUGAUACCGCCCAAGAGUUCAUAUCGACGGCGGUGUUUGGCACCUCGAUGUCGGCUCAUCACAUCCUGGGGCUGAAGUAGGUCCCAAGGGUAUGGCUGUUCGCCAUUUAAAGUGGUACGCGAGCUGGGUUUAGAACGUCGUGAGACAGUUCGGUCCCUAUCUGCCGUGGGCGCUGGAGAACUGAGGGGGGCUGCUCCUAGUACGAGAGGACCGGAGUGGACGCAUCACUGGUGUUCGGGUUGUCAUGCCAAUGGCACUGCCCGGUAGCUAAAUGCGGAAGAGAUAAGUGCUGAAAGCAUCUAAGCACGAAACUUGCCCCGAGAUGAGUUCUCCCUGAGACUUAGAGUCUCCUGAAGGAACGUUGAAGACGACGACGUUGAUAGGCCGGGUGUGUAAGCGCAGCGAUGCGUUGAGCUAACCGGUACUAAUGAACCGUGAGGCUUAACCUUACAACGCCGAAG